CCUACGGGUGGCAGCAGUGGGGAAUAUUGCACAAUGGGGGAAACCCUGAUGCAGCGACGCCGCGUGAGUGAAGAAGUAUUUCGGUAUGUAAAGCUCUAUCAGCAGGAACGAGACAAGACGGUACCUGACUAAGAAGCCCGGCGAACUACGUGCCAGCAGCCGGGGUAAUACGUAGGGGGCAAGCGUUAUCCGGAAGCACUGGGUGGAAAGGGAGCGUAGAAGGGUGAGCAAGCCUGAAGUGAAAGGCGGGGGCCCAACCCCCGGACUGCUUUGGGAACUGUACGGCUGGAGUGCAGGAGAGGUAAGUGGAAUUCCUAGUGUAGCGGUGAAAUGCGUAGAUAUUAGGAGGAACACCAGUGGCGAAGGCGGCUUACUGGACUGUAACUGACGUUGAGGCUCGAAAGCGUGGGGAGCAAACAGGAUUAGAUACCCUUGUAGUC
rnacentral:rRNA from 1 species